GACGAACGCUGGCGGCGUGCUUAACACAUGCAAGUCGAACGGUGAAGCGCCUUCCUUUUUGGUGGGUGUGGAUGAGUGGCGAACAGGUGAGUAACACGUGAGUAACCUGCCCCCUUCUUCUGGAUAACCGCAUGAAAGUGUGGCUAAUACGGGAUAUUCUGGGUCUGUCGCAUGAUGGGUCUGGGAAAGAUAUUGUUUCGGUGGGGGAUGGGCUCGCGGCCUAUCAGCUUGUUGGUGGGGUGAUGGCCUACCAAGGCGGUGACGGGUAGCCGGCCUGAGAGGGUGGACGGUCACACUGGGACUGAGACACGGCCCAGACUCCUACGGGAGGCAGCAGUGGGGAAUAUUGCACAAUGGGCGCAAGCCUGAUGCAGCGACGCCGCGUGAGGGAUGGAGGCCUGCGGGUUGUGAACCUCUUUCGCCAGUGAAGCAGGCCUGCCUCGUUUGUGGGUGGGUUGACGGUAGCUGGAGAAGAAGCGCCGGCUAACUACGUG
rnacentral:rRNA from 1 species